UACGAGGGGUCCUAGCGUUGUUCGGAAUCAUUGGGCGUAAAGAGUAUGUAGGCGGCCAGAUAAGUCAGGUGUGAAAUCCCCGGGCUCAACCCGGGAAGUGCAUUUGAUACUGUCUGGCUUGAGUAUGGAAGAGGGUAGUGGAAUUCCUGGUGUAGUGGUGAAAUACGUAGAUAUUGGGAAGAACACCGGUGGCGAAGGCGGCCAACUGGACCAUUUCUGACGCUGAGGCGCGAAAGCGUGGGGAGCAAACAGG
rnacentral:rRNA from 1 species